rnacentral:rRNA from 1 species
CAGGCCUAACACAUGCAAGUCGAGCGGGGAAGGGUAGCUUGCUACCUAACCUAGCGGCGGACGGGUGAGUAAUGCUUAGGAAUCUGCCAUUUAGUGGGGGACAACAUUCCGAAAGGAAUGCUAAUACCGCAUACGUCCUACGGGAGAAAGCAGGGGAUCUUCGGACCUUGCGCUAAAUGAUGAGCCUAAGCCGGAUUAGCUAGUUGGUGGGGUAAAGGCCUACCAAGGCGACGAUCUGUAGCGGGUCUGAGAGGAUGAUCCGCCACACUGGGACUGAGACACGGCCCAGACUCCUACGGGAGGCAGCAGUGGGGAAUAUUGGACAAUGGGCGGAAGCCUGAUCCAGCCAUGCCGCGUGUGUGAAGAAGGCCUUAUGGUUGUAAAGCACUUUAAGCGAGGAGGAGGCUACUUAGAUUAAUACUCUAGAAUAGUGGACGUUACUCGCAGAAUAAGCACCGGCUAACUCUGUGCCAGCAGCCGCGGUAAU